GGAAGUGAGCUGCCAUGUACUAGGCCACGUGGCAAGGGCCUGGUUGGGGACCUCCAGGGGUUGAGAGCAUCCUCUGGACAACAUGGAAAAAGAAAAUGAAAAUGGUGACCUCAGCCCUAUAGCUAGAAGGAAUUGAAUCCUGUCAACAACGAUACUCAUCACUCACUGCAGAUGUUACUUUAAGACAUUCUGGAGCAGCGUCAUGUGCAGGAACAAUAAGGAAGUGAGUGCUUUUGUAAUUCCUGAACAACUGUGUCUUACACUUACUAAGUUCUCUUGCCUGCCACCAUGUAAGAUAUGCUUUUACUCUUCCGCCUUCCACCGUGACUGUGAGGCCUCCCCAGCCAUGUGAAACUGCCUUUGAGCUUAUACUGAAUUAUACCACCAGCUUUCCUAGGUCUUGAAGCUUACAGACAGCAGAUCUUGGGACUUCUCAGGCACCAUAAUCAAUCAUAUAAAGAAAAAUCAAAGUAAGAGACCUAUUCGAGAUUUACAGAGGAAGACAAUCUUUUCUUCUCACCUUGAGAUAAAUGAUCCAAUGAUUCGGAACUUGAAAAGUGGUAGCUUUAUGAAUUCUCCUUAAGAAGAAACCUGUGCCCUGAUCUUGCCUACUCACCCAAAGGCACUGUGAGAUAGCAUCAAAGGAACAGCUAGUAAGAGACACAGAGCCAGAAAUCAGGGAAGUAAAAUACACUUGACAUCUACGUUCGGAAAGAAAUUUUAGGAGGCAGAAGCAAAUGGAUCAGAAGCUGCUUAUAUUUUUGCAAGAUUACCAAAGAAACCAUUGGUGGAGAAAGUUCUGUGACCAACUUGUCUGAGUCUAGUAAGAUUGAACGCUCACACACAAGUUUCAUGAAGUGGGUUUGAUACUUACAGAUAAGCAGCAAGGACCAACAGAAGCUGAUGAUCUAUGGUGAACUUUUUCCCAAGGCUCCGGAAAGCUGCCUAAAGUAGAUGGAGUCUUCUCUGUGUGUGCCCCACUGGUCCUGCAGUUGAAGGAUCCGGUAAAGCAGCCUGCCCUUGGUUUUAUACUCCAGAGGAACGUGAUUCGCUGGACUAAAGCAUUGAAGUGCAUCCUGUUUCCGGGGGGCACUGGAACAGAGCCUGGUCUGUUCUAGCCAGUCCCUUUCUAUCUCAGGAUAACAUUCUACAGUUAUUCUUGAGAACUAUAAUCAAAUAAGCAGGGAGAACUGGGAAAGCAGAGGCUCAUUGUGGAACCCUCAAGGAGCAUGGGGUCGUCUUCAUCCCUCAGUUUAUAAAUGGCCAAGGAGAGUAAUGCAACAAAAACUUCUCAGAGUUAAAAGCCAGAGUUCCUAAAGAACCGUGGACAAAGGGUUCUGUCUAGUGGGCAGAAUUCAUCCAGCGAAGGUGCUUACUGCACUCCCAGCAUGUGCUUGGGAACUUUAUUAAAAUUCCUUCCUAUUGAGAUUUAAAUUGCUGUCCAGAAUUAUACAAUAUAAUGAAUGGGGGCAUUCAUUAUGUGUAUUCUAUGCCUUCUCCAUCAUUGCAUAUUCAGUCCUCGUGCUAGAGAGAGGCAGAUAAUCUACCUUUUAAAUUGAUAGGUCUCCUAACUACAGAGGGUCACAUCUGGAUCUGAUGGCACCUACAGAACUUGGACUCUGAGCGACAAUCAGUGACCAGGUGUGACUUUAUAUUAUCUCUGUCAGGGAAGGGUGAGAGUUUUCAAUGUGUGAACAUAGAAUAAAAUGGUCUGGUGACCAAAAGGCUCUAUUAAAGAUAAUAUGAGAUGUUCAAAACACUGGCUAUUUUCUUGGGAACAAAAGUUGAACUUCUAAAUCUUUCUCACAGAUUGUAGACCAAAGGAAUGAAUUCUGAUUGGCAGAAUAUAAGCCUACGUAAUAUAAAAAAGACUUCCAGGUUUGGCCCUCUGAGUCUUGACUCAUUACACACCAUCUCACAGCCUUAUUUUGCCUUUCAACAGGAAAUUUGGAACCCAGGUUUUCCCAACCUACAUCUACAAAAUGGAAUGGGUCUGAUUCGCAAGUUUUCAGAGAAAGAAGCCAACCUUAAUCAGACUGUGAUAUGAUGAGGAAAUAAAACUUGCUGUGCUAAUCAACUGAUACUGGGAAGCAUG
rnacentral:lncRNA from 1 species